rnacentral:rRNA from 1 species
GCCAACAGCCAUAUCACCCUGCAGCUCACAACUGGCAAACCACCACUACUGCUGCUAAGCAGGUGUGAGCCUGGUCAGUAUGUGGAUGGGAGACCUCCUGGGAAAAUCUAAGGUUGCUGCUGGAA